GUUUAUCACAGUCAUUGAGAGAUACAAUAAAGGACUGUAAACAUUUCACAAAUCUCUUCGGAUCAUCUGAUGUUUCUGUGUGUCUCCUGUUCAAACCUGAAUAUUUAGCCAACAUGUUGAUCUAUUUAAUCAUAUUGAUAUCAUCAGCUAAAGGUUCCAGAGCUGCAGAAGUCAUCACACCAUACAGAGCUCAUGAAUUUGCUGUUGAGGGUGAAAGUGUGACACUCUCUUGUAGCUACACUAGUUCUGUUCGAGGUCUUCACUGGUAUCGCCAAUACUCAGGUUCACCACCACAGUUCCUCAUACUGGAUUACUAUGGGACAGUUACUGAUGCUGAUCCUCCAGUUGCUGGAAUCUCAAUCCAUCACAGAAAAGACAACAGCAGUGUGGAUCUGAAGAUCUCUUCUGCUGCUGUAACUGACUCUGCUGUGUACUUCUGUGCUCUGGAGCCCACAGUGACAGGAAAUCCAGUGCAUGCUGUACAAAAAGUGUUUAACUGGGAGAAAGAAAGCGAGGUGCCAUUGAGGUUUUAUGUAUGGUGAAAAAUCACACACUUAAGAUAAGUCUACACA